CCAUGAAGUAACGCAAGCACCGCACGUUUUGUAUGUCUCCCUAUAUCUGACACAACCACUUCAGGUCUUGCAGUCUCCACUAAUGAGCAGAUGAGUGGAAUCAGGUGUGAUACUUGAGGGAGACAUACAGCAUGUGCAGGGCUGGGGGUACUCCAGGACAGGAUUUACACAAGCUCCAGUCUGGAUCCAUAACACCUGAGAAGAGAUGAUGCCAAUCCAUCAGACGACAUCAGAUGAUGCUAACCCUGAAACAACAUACAGAAGUACCAAAUUUUGCUACUUCUCCUGCUCUCCUGAUUCUCUGACCGGAAUCUGGUCCAUACUUGGCCGCCUCAACCAGUUGUAAUUCAAAUGUAGUAAGGUUUACUACAGCUGGAGUCAAACCGUCUGGACUGAGGGACGACUUCUCCCUAAGAGAACAAAGGAUUUUCCUGAUAAUUAACAUUUGAACACUCUCUUGAACACCCUCCUGCAUAAGUAACAGUGCCAUCAGAGAUGCACCAUGCCUAGCAGUUCACACCUCACCAUCACACUCCCUCCUCACACUAUGAUCCCCAUCCUUUUUCCCUCACCUGAAACUCACUCUAAAUCUAUGCAAUGUUUUGUGUAUACAACAAGUGACUAUAUAUGUUUGGUAUCAUUUGAAAUGUCUCAGUGUGCCUGGUACAAUGAUCUCAACCUUACAAAAGUAGACUAAAAGAUAAUACAGAUCCUAAGAGUCAAGAGAUAUUUUGAUUACUGUAAUGGGAGUGCCCUUUUCCAGGGUCUUCUAUGUAAAUUACCUUCUGUUCCUUUUGAGGUGUGAACUACACUGGUCUGGGACCUGACUUAAUCAAAUUCCAAUUGUUAGUUUCUGUCUUCAUCUCGGGGGAUGUUUGUCUUGGUCUGAGGUAUUUAAAGGAUUGUAGCAAAAGGAUCAGGGCGAUUCUGUAGCCAGAAAGCCCGUAGUGUGGUGUGUGUCUCUUCACUUCAUACUAUGUAUUUCACUAGAAGUCAGGUAUGCAUCUUUCACUCUUAGAUUCAUCUUUGAGAAUUUGAUGUCUUGUAUUGAUUUGAUAUCUUUGAAUUGGGUAUGUAAUUGGCAGAAUACAUAUUUACCUGACUGAUAAUAAAUUGUUACAUUUGAUUUUA
ensembl:lncRNA